AUUGAACGCUGGCGGCAUGCCUUACACAUGCAAGUCGAACGGCAGCACGGGGGCAACCCUGGUGGCGAGUGGCGAACGGGUGAGUAAUGCAUCGGAACGUGCCCAGUAGUGGGGGACAACCAGUCGAAAGAUUGGCUAAUACCGCAUACGACCUAUGGGUGAAAGCGGGGGACCGUAAGGCCUCGCGCUAUUGGAGCGGCCGAUGUCUGAUUAGCUAGUUGGUGAGGUAAAGGCUCACCAAGGCGACGAUCAGUAGCUGGUCUGAGAGGACGACCCGCCACACUGGGACUGAGGUAAGGCCCAGACUACUACGGGAGGAAGCAGUGGGGAAUUUUGGACAAUGGGCGCAAGCCUGAUCCAGCCAUGCCGCGUGCGGGAAGAAGGCCUUCGGGUUGUAAACCGCUUUUGGCAGGAACGAAACGGCGCGGGCUAAUACCCAGCGUUAAUGACGGUACCUGCAGAAUAAGCACCGGCUAACUACGUGCCAGCCGCCGCUGUAAGAC
rnacentral:rRNA from 1 species